rnacentral:misc_RNA from 1 species
GACAGAAGGUGCAAGCGUUACUCGGAAUUACUGGGCGUAAAGCGUCUGUAGGUGUCCGACCACGUCUGGCGUGAAAUCGCGGGGCUCAACCCCGCGUCCACACUGGAUACGAGUCGGAUCGAGUCAUUCAGAGGCAUCUGGAAUGUCGUGUGUAGGGGUAAAAUCCGUAGAUACACGAUGGAACGCCAAAAGCGAAGGCAGGAUGCUAGGAAUGUACUGACACUCAGAGACGAAAGCGUGGGGAGCAAAGGGG